rnacentral:rRNA from 1 species
AGUCGACGGAAGGCCCUUCGGGGUACUCGAGUGGCGAACGGGUGAGUAACACGUGGGUGAUCUGCCCUGCACUUUGGGAUAAGCCUGGGAAACUGGGUCUAAUACCGAAUAUGACCAUGCGCCUCCUGGUGUGUGGUGGAAAGCUUUUGCGGUGUGGGAUGGGCCCGCGGCCUAUCAGCUUGUUGGUGGGGUAAUGGCCUACCAAGGCGACGACGGGUAGCCGGCCUGAGAGGGUGACCGGCCACACUGGGACUGAGAUACGGCCCAGACUCCUACGGGAGGCAGCAGUGGGGAAUAUUGCACAAUGGGCGCAAGCCUGAUGCAGCGACGCCGCGUGAGGGAUGACGGCCUUCGGGUUGUAAACCUCUUUCAGCACAGACGAAGCGCAAGUGACGGUAUGUGCAGAAGAAGGACCGGCCAACUACGUGCCAGCAGCCGCGGUAAUACGUAGGGUCCGAGCGUUGUCCGGAAUUACUGGGCGUAAAGAGCUCGUAGGUGGUUUGUCGCGUUGUUCGUGAAAACUCACAGCUUAACUGUGGGCGUGCGGGCGAUACGGGCAGACUUGAGUACUGCAGGGGAGACUGGAAUUCCUGGUGUAGCGGUGGAAUGCGCAGAUAUCAGGAGGAACACNGGUGGCGAAGGCGGGUCUCUGGGCNNNAACUGACGCUGAGGAGCGAAAGCGUGNNNNNNGAACAGGAUNNNANACCCUGGUAGUCCA